GACUACAUAAUGUAGUGGUUAGCACGUCUGCUUUACAUGCAGAAGGUCCUGGGUUCGCGCCCCAGGUGGAGCCA
rnacentral:tRNA from 1 species